rnacentral:rRNA from 1 species
CUACUCUUGACAUCCAAAGAACUAUAUAGAGAUAUAUAGGUGCCUUCGGGAGCUUUGAGACAGGUGCUGCAUGGCUGUCGUCAGCUCGUGUUGUGAAAUGUUGGGUUAAGUCCCGCAACGAGCGCAACCCUUAUCCUUUGUUGCCAGCGAGUUAAGUCGGGAACUCAAGGGAGACUGCCGGUGACAAACCGGAGGAAGGUGGGGAUGACGUCAAGUCAUCAUGGCCCUUACGAGUAGGGCUACAGACGUGCUACAAUGGUGCAUACAAAGAGAAGCAAUCUUGUGAAAGUAAGCGAAUCUCAUAAAGUGCAUCUUAGUCCGGAUUGGAGUCUGCAACUCGACUCCAUGAAGUCGGAAUCGCUAGUAA